UUGACCUCGAAUCAGGUAGGAAUACCCGCUGAACUUAAGCAUAUCAAUAAGCGGAGGAAAAGAAACCAACCGGGAUUACCUCAGUAACGGCGAGUGAAGCGGUAACAGCUCAAAUUUGAAAUCUGGCUCUUCCGGAGUCCGAGUUGUAAUUUGUAGAAGAUGCUUUGGGUUGUGGGUUCGGCCUAAGUUCCUUGGAACAGGACGUCAUAGAGGGUGAGAAUCCCGUAUGUGGCCGAGGCCCGCGCCUAUGUAAAGCUCUUUCAACGAGUCGAGUUGUUUGGGAAUGCAGCUCAAAAUGGGUGGUAAAUUUCAUCUAAAGCUAAAUAUGGGCCAGAGACCGAUAGCGCACAAGUAGAGUGAUCGAAAGAUGAAAAGCACUUUGGAAAGAGAGUUAAACAGUACGUGAAAUUGUUGAAAGGGAAGCGCUUGCAACCAGACUUGGGCGCUGCCGAUCACCUUGAGUUUUCUCAAGUGCACUCGACAGCGCACAGGCCAGCAUCGGUUCGGGUGGCUGGAUAAAGGCCGUAGGAAUGUGGCUCUCUUCGGGGAGUGUUAUAGCCUACGGUGCCAUGCAGCCCAGCCGGACCGAGGACCGCGCCUUCGGGCUAGGAUGCUGGCGUAAUGGUUGUAAGCGACCCGUCUUGAAACACGGACCAAGGAGUCUAACAUCUAUGCGAGUGUUUGGGUGGUAAACCCAUACGCGGAAUGAAAGUGAACGUAGGUGAGAACCCCUUUGGGGCGCAUCAUCGACCGAUCCUGAUGUCUUCGGAUGGAUUUGAGUAAGAGCAUAGCUGUUGG
rnacentral:rRNA from 1 species